rnacentral:rRNA from 1 species
GACGAACGCUGGCGGCGUGCUUAACACAUGCAAGUCGAACGGAAAGGCCCUGCUUUUGUGGGGUGCUCGAGUGGCGAACGGGGGAGUAAAACGUGAGUAAAAUGCCCUUGUCUUUGGGAUAACUUCAGGAAACUGGGGCUAAUACAGGAGAGGAGAUACUGCAGCACGGUGGGGGUUGGAAAGUUUCGGCGGUUGGGGCUGGUAUAGCGGCUUAUCAGCUUGUUGGUGGGGUAGUGGCUUACCAAGGCUUUGACGGGUAGCCGGCCUGGGAGGUUGACCGGCCACCUUGGGCCUGAGAUACGGCCCAGUCGCCUACGGGACGCAGCAGUCGGGAGUAUUGCACAAUGGGCGGACGCCUGAUGCAGCAACGCCGCGUGCGUGAUGACCUCCUUCGGGUUGAAAACCGCUUUCGCCUGUGCCGAAGCCUUCUUGACGGUAAUUGGUAAGGAAGCACCGGCUAACUACGUG